CCUGCCUGCUGCAGUCGGAGCUGGUGAACUAUGAGCGGGUGCGGGAGUACUGUCUCAAGGUCCUGGAGAAGCAACAGGGCAACUUCAAGGCCACCUACCGCGCCGGCAUCGCCUUCUACCACCUGGGCGACUAUGCUCGCGCACUGCGCUACCUGCAGGAGGCCCGCAGCCGGGAGCCCACAGACACCAACGUCCUGCGCUACAUCCAGCUGACGCAGCUGAAGAUGAAUCGUUGCAGCCUCCAGCGGGAAGACAGCGGGGCUGGGGCGGGGGCCGGGCCAGGGACCCGGGACGUCAUAGGCUGAGGCCAACUUGGGGGACAGUCGCUACCCCCACUCCCCCCUCACCGUGUAACUCCCCUGCCUCUCGUGUUUGCUGGUAAAGCACUUGUGCUGGUGGCUGUAAUCUGUGUGGUGUUCUUGAGGGGUCCAGGGAGGCGGGGAGGGAACGGGCUCCUGGGCCUCGCCCUCUGGACCCCAGAAACCCAGAGGCUCAGGGAGGAAGUGUGGGGGGGAUUGUAGCGGGGCGCCCCAGGACCAGGGGCUGGGCUGGGGAGAGACACAGGCAAGAGCGGUAGGGGGCAGGGGUUACCUUUAAUGCUGCAUUUUGUGCCAAAUCCCUACGAUGUGCCCUGUCCCUGAGUAUCCUGCCCAGGGCCUCCCCUGCCUUGUGGCACGGCAGGCUGGGGCGGGGCCUGGGGCGCUACAUUCAUGGCUGCCCAGGCGGGCGGUGGCGGGCAGGCCUCAGCGGGCGCCGUGGGCCCCACACAGGGGCACUGUGCUGUCCUGGCUCUGCCCCUCCAUGUCCAUGUCCAGCAGCGUGGGCUGCAUGCCGGGGGGCCCGGGGCUCUCGGGGGUGUCUGGCCGGCUGGGAGGCGAGAUGCUGAGUGUCCGGCCAAAGGAGACCAGUUUCCAGGGGUCCAGGCGGGGGCGGCUGGCAGCCGGCCGGGGUCUUGGGGCGAAGGUCAGGGUGGUAGGGCGGCCCGGGAACUCGGGGGGCCGGCGGUGGGUCGGGAACAAGGUCUGGGGGUCGGGCAGGCGGGGGAAGUCCAGGGGGUCUCGAGGGCCUGGUGAGAGAGGAUCAGAUGAGGUCAACGGGGCGGGCCAGAGGAUGGCAGUUAAAAGUCAGGCUCAUUACACGGGAAUUGGAAUUUCUGACAGCGUUUGA
rnacentral:lncRNA from 1 species